rnacentral:rRNA from 1 species
CGGAACGUGCCUAGUAGUGGGGGAUAACUACUCGAAAGAGUAGCUAAUACCGCAUGAGAUCUAAGGAUGGAAGCAGGGGACCUUCGGGCCUUGCGCUACUAGAGCGGCUGAUGGCAGAUUAGGUAGUUGGUGGGAUAAAAGCUUACCAAGCCGACGAUCUGUAGCUGGUCUGAGAGGACGACCAGCCACACUGGGACUGAGACACGGCCCAGACUCCUACGGGAGGCAGCAGUGGGGAAUUUUGGACAAUGGGCGAAAGCCUGAUCCAGCAAUGCCGCGUGUAGGAUGAAGGCCCUCGGGUUGUAAACUACUUUUGUACGGAACGAAAAGCUCUCUUCUAAUAAAGGAGAGUGAUGACGGUACCGUAAGAAUAAGCACCGGCUAACUACGUGCCAGCAGCCGCGGUAAUACGUAGGGUGCGAGCGUUAAUCGGAAUUACUGGGCGUAAAGCGUGCGCAGGCGGUUAUGUAAGACAGAGGUGAAAUCCCCGGGCUCAACCUGGGAACGGCCUUUGUGACUGCAUAGCUAGAGUACGGUAGAGGGGGAUGGAAUUCCGCGU